CCUGAGAAACCCAAAAGAUCGAAUGGGGAGAUUCAUCGUCAGCUCAUAUUGUAUAUAUACAAGUUAUGAUGUGGGUUACUACUUGUAGUAUUGCCUAUACAUUCUUGUAUAUUUAGUUGCAAAAUGUUGUCGGCGUGCACUUCUCCCCUAGUAGGACGUCGCGACCCGUUGAGUGUCGGUCUACGGCCCAAGUGGGAGCCUUUAAUAUUUUUUAUUAAAUAUUGAAGACCCUUGGUGUUUCCUGACCGGCUACUCGGCGGUACUCGUACGGUAUUAAGCCGCAUUUUUAUUAUGCGUUCAUACCCAUCGCAAGCGAGGCUAAUUUUUGAUAGUACGGACCUAGUGCCGUCGUUGAAUUUGGCCAGCUGUUGGUUGUAUGGUGUUCUAGAACUGGCUUACAAAAUAUAUAUUACCGGUCAGCGAUGCUACUGCUUUGGGUACUUUCAGGACCCGUCUUGAAACACGGACCAAGGAGUCUAACAUGUGCGCAAGUCAUUGGGAUUUUUUAAAAAUUAAACCUAAAGGCGUAAUGAAAGUAAAGGUUGUCCUUGCGUCAACCGAGGGAGGAUGAUCUAUAUUAUGAUAUAGUUCCGCACUCCCGGGGCGUCUCAUUCUCAUUAUGAGAAGAGGCGCACCUAG
rnacentral:rRNA from 1 species